GCGCCUUAUGCAUGCAAGUCGAGCGAAGCUUUUCUGUAGUUUACUACAGAAAAUGACUGAGCGGCGAACGGGUGAGUAACGCGUGAGCAAUCUACCUUAGUUACAGGGAUAGCCCGAGGAAACUCGGAUUAAUACCUGAUAUUCUUUUUUUCUCGCAUGAGUUUUAAAGGAAAGGUCAGCCGAACUAAGAUGAGCUCGCGUUCUAUCAGCUAGUUGGUGAGGUAAUAGCUCACCAAGGCAACGACGGAUAGCUGGUCUGAGAGGACGAUCAGCCACACUGGGACUGAGACACGGCCCAGACUCCUAGGGGAGGCUGCAGCAGGGAAUAUUGUGCAAUGAGCGAAAGCUUGACACAGCGACACCGCGUGUGGGAUGACGGAUCUAGGUUUGUAAACCACUUUCAGGAGGGAAGAAAAUGACGGUACCUCCAUAAGAAGCCCCGGCCAACUACGUGCCAGCAGCCGCGGUAAUACGUAGGGGGCGAGCGUUGUCCGGAUUUAUUGGGCGUAAAGAGCUCGUAGGCGGUUCAACAAGUCGGUCGUGAAAGUUCAGGGCUCAACCCUUGAAAUGUCGAUCGAUACUGUUGUGACUAGGAUACGGUAGAGGUGAGUGGAAUUCCGAGUGUAGCGGUGAAAUGCGUAGAUAUUCGGAGGAACACCAAUUGCGAAGGCAGCUCACUGGGCCGCUAU
rnacentral:rRNA from 1 species